rnacentral:lncRNA from 1 species
CAGUACUAUAAGAUUAUAACAAUAAUAAAAAAAAAAUUUAUUUUCUUACAAAUAAAAAAUUUCACAAUAUUUUUUGAAAUAUACAAUUUAAAUUCUAUUGAAUUUUCACCAACAGUAAACUUAUCUUUUGCCAUUACUUUAAAUAGAUUAAAAACACAUAAGAAAACACACCACUAAGAUAUAUAAGGUGGUAUACGAUAAAUCGAUCCUUCUGUGUAUUUGAUCCAGUUUCUAAAAUAACUUUUAUUAGUUAAAGUAAAUAUUGUUAAAGUCUAAAUUUUUUUAUUUUAAAGAUGUCUUAGGGUUUU